AGUGAAUAGAUACCCCGGUAGUCCUGGCAGUAAACGGUGCGCGUUUGGUGUAGGGGGAUUCGACCCCCUCUGUGCCGAAAGCUAAACGCGUUAAAAACGCGCCGCCUGGGAAGUACGGUCGCAAGAUUAAAACUCAAAGAAAUUGACGGGGGCCCGCACAAGCGGUGGAGUAUGUGGCUUAAUUCGAUGCAACGCGAAGAACCUUACCAAGCCUUGACAUGCAUUUCUAAGUUGGUGAAAGCCAGCGAGUGUAGCAAUACACAACUUGCACAGGUGCUGCAUGGCUGUCGUCAGCUCGUGUCGUGAGAUGUUGGGUUAAGUCCCGCAACGAGCGCAACCCUUGUGAACUGUUGCUAACUAGCUUCGGCUAGUGCACUCUGUUCAGACUGCCCUGUGAAACGGGGAGGAAGGUGAGGAUGACGUCAAGUCAGGAUGGCCCUUACGGCUUGGGCUGCACACGUACUACAAUGCUCAGUACAGAAGGAACCGAGACCGCGAGGUGGAGGAAAUCACUAAAACUGAGCUCAAUUC
rnacentral:rRNA from 1 species